AGUACCAGACAGAAGCCAGACGCCUAUGAUAUCGUUAAAAUGAGUUUAAAGGCUCAAAUGGACGCUGAAGAUAGUAGGAAGAGUCGGGGUAAUUUGAAGCCUGUUGCUCAUGGUAUCGUCAAGCAAGCGUUAAAGUAAGUAAAAGUUACUAAAACAAA